AGGAAAACGAGUAUGCUUUCCUGGCACUAGAGUGGUCCUUUAAGGCACAACAGGGUAAUCCCUAAAUCCUGGACUAAUCUUGGACUGGUAGGGGGUACUUGAGUUGGGUUAGGAACACCUAGACUAGACCAAAAUCAACUACUUUGAUAAUUUCAGUAGAGAUGAAUGAAAUGGCUGUCGAGAGAAGACUGGGCGGGCUUGUUUUAUGGCUUAUUUAAUUUAUUUGAUUUAAAGGGGGGGCUGAAUUUAAUAUAUUUAUUUUUUAAAGUUAUAGUGUUCCUAUAGAGUUGAGCCUAACUAAUAAACAGUUUGACAUAAAACUGGAGGAUAUCACCUAGACACUGAAGAGCUGUAGUGUAUGUUACUUACUCUGUCGCAUUCAAUUUCUGCUUACUAUGUAAUAAUAUUAUAUUUAACCGGAAAAUACCACUACAUAACUAGUGUUCUACAAGCAGCUUUCUUAGUAUUAGUCCUGGUCUUUUAUUUAGGAAACGGACGUGUAUUUGCUAAAUUGUAAAAUGUGGCCAUUUUAGAAAAAAUAUUUAGGCCGUAAACUUUUGAGUCAAGUUCAACUCUGGCCUAAAAAUACAGUAAACAAAUACAUGUUGUGCGGAAAGCAAAUUAAUUGUGUAUUGUACUAUUUCCUAACCUAAUGACUUGAAUACGGUUUCCAAAUUUAGAACGUGGACAUUGUGAUACAGAUUAUUAUAAUUUAUUAUAAAUAGGUAUCUGUCUCGCGAUUAUGGAACUGAAAAUCCCAAGGAACACAUAUAACAAAAUAAAUGACAGGAGCUUUGCCGAAUAUAUCCCGCAGUACUUCCCAUUAACAGCAAUUACCAAUUACUUAGCAGCAGUUAAUUAUUUUUUAAUUAAUGCUAGGCUCUUUAUUAGCCUGUCUGUGCAACAGUAUAUAUUAAACCCCCGCUUAAAUGAACUUUGCAUCUUGUUGUGUUUUUAAUAAUGGUUAAAAUAAUACUUGACAUUCAACAUGAUCUACGAGUGGUCCUUUAAGUAAAAGUCUUCUAGUGUUGUGAAAUCCUCAUACCGCCACUCUUUGUUCAACAGCAAACUAAAAGAAUGGGUAGAAAAUGUUGUAGCCUUAUGUUGUGUAUAGUUUAUCAUUAACGGGAAACUGUAGGCACACAGGCCACUUCAGUUCAUUGAAGAGGUCUGGGUGCAAUGUCCCAUGUCCCUUAACCAUACAAAGGUAAUUACUGCAGUUUCUGAAAAACUGCAAUAACUACCUGCUAGGGUUAGCUCCUCUUCUAGUGGCCUUCUACUAGACAGCCACUAGAGGGACUUCCGGGUGCUUAGAUGACUGUUGAUCGCCUAAGUGACGCUGGAUGUCCUCACGCUAUGCGGUUUCACAAUACUUAAGUGUUGUAGGUGCAGUACCCCUGUCGUUUUAAACCUGCAAUGUAAAACAUUGCUGUCUUCCUGAUUGCGACUAGAGGCACUUUGACUGCAAUAACCGAGUCCAAAACUGUUAUUCAAUUAAGUGCUGUUCGUAGAGACAAUCUGAUUGGCGCAGCAUGACGAUUUGCUGCACAUGCGCACUAGCCUCCCAAUGCUUCUCUUCGGGGAAUCAUUGGCUUGUCUGAGAUAAAGAAUCUGUAUCUCAGCCCUGGAAGCGCAUGGGAAGACCAGCACAGCAAGGGAGUAGGGGUAAGUAAAACAUACCUAGCUUUAAAAACCCUCAUGGGGGGCGUUUGUGGACAGACACUUAAAUAGGUGGGGUAACACUAGAGCCUUAGGAACAUGUGUGUAUUACUAACGCCAUAGCUUCCUUUAAUCUAACAUACUGUUAAAGCGUUUUUUUUGUUUGUUUUUGUCACUUGAGAUGAAUGUUAUCUUGCUAACGUAAAUGGAAUACUGUAUGUGCUUUGAUAUGAGAACAUCUAAGCGUGUAGCGUUUGUAUAAUUGUUUGCACUUGCAUGUGCACCUUCCUUUUUGCAUUAACCAUUCUGACACUUUUGAUCUUGACUGCAUCUACACGCUACUCUUAGUCAAUUAGAGUGUAAGCCCUGUGAAACAGCAAUCUUUGAAUUGUUUCUCUUAGGACUCAAUGCUUACUGGAAAUGUUUACUGGAACUCCAGUUGUACUUAAUGUAACACUGUUAUAUUUAUUGUUCUGUUUAUUGUGUAAAGAACUGUGCAUAAUGUGAAGCUGUUGUAUUUGAAUAAAGUAAAAUGGAUGCCUAA